GAUGAAGAACGCAGUGAAAUGCGAUACGUAAUGUGAAUUGCAGAAUUCAGUGAAUCAUCGAAUCUUUGAACGCACAUUGCGCCUGCCAGCACUCUGGCAGGCAUGCCUGUUCGAGCGUCAUUUCAACCAUCAAGCCCUAGGCUUGCGUUGGAGCCCUGCGGCUGCCGCAGGCCCCUAAAAGCAGUGGCGGGCUCGCUAUCACACCGAGUGCAGUAGAUUACUCUUCGCUCAGGGCGUGUGGCGGGUUCCAGCCGUGAAACCCCCUACUUCUCAAGGUUGACCUCGGAUCAGGUAGGAAUACCCGCUGAACUUAAGCAUAUCAAUAAGCGGAGGA
rnacentral:misc_RNA from 1 species